UAGUGUUAUAGCUAUUUCCUUGUAACUUAAUUAGGCAGCCUGGUUUUUAUGGUGCAUUAUCUGGGAACUUAUAGAACAUCAAACGUGUAGACGGUCACUCUUUAGAACUUGUAAGACUUGAGUGAUAGCGUUCUACUUAAUUUCAGUAGCUUUUGUUUCGUUCCAACAGGAGAAUGUGUUGGCCGAGUCGAGAAUGAUGGUUCCCGACUGCCACACAUGCCUGGAGGCUUCCCUUGCUGACCUAAAAGGAAUAUUGGAAGAGUUGAAGGAGUUGAAUCAGCGAGGUCCUGAGAUUAAGGAAGCUCAAAGCAUUAUUGCAGAGGUUGAAGCAUUGUUUCAAAGCACUGAAGGUUAGCAGUUCAGUCAACUGUUGUAGUUGGUGGCUUGAUCGCCGUUGCUUUGGUUUUUGUAUCUUGUUCUAGUCUUUUUUCAGAGGCUAGCAUGCACCACUUCACUCUGCAGAUGGAUUUGUAGCCAUGCAGUUUUGAUUUUUGGCUUCUGUUUGUUUCUAAGUAAACGGCUACCUUAUACUAUAAUUGAUGACGGUGCUUGCCAUCUUCGCAGGGGUUUACUCUCCUCAUGUCUUUCAUUUGUUAAUGUUACAAUCUAAGGGCUUAGUUUGGAUCCUCGAUAAAAA